UUAUUGAUAGUUCUUUGCCUCCACCCCACCUGCUAACUUUGUAAUAGUUUUGGAAGUGAGAAUGUUGACCUUUAUGUAUUGUCCUCAUUUUCAUAGAUGAAUUUUCUGCAGAGUAAAUCCUUUUUUUAGAAAGGAUUGGCAGGGAGAAGGGGUUAGGUCAAUGAAGGAGGCCAAAAAGGAAGACUUCAGUGCACAAUGAAGUUGUCCUUGGUUCUUUGAUAAAUAAAACCAAUGAAGAGAUAAGCUUGGCAAAAGGUUACUUAACAGAAGUACUGUGCUUUGUGUGUUGGAGGAUGAAAAUACAGAGUGAUCCAUCGGCUAAGUGUUUUAUCACGAUGCUGAAACUCAAACUGCUGACAGCACACUUUUUCUCACAGUACUUAUGCCCCAAGAUACUAGAGGCAGCUGUGUUUUUUAGAACAGUGCAUCUAGGAAUGAUAUUCGGAAGCAGAUCCCUAGAACUUAAUCAUCUUAUAAUUGGAAGUUGUACCCUCUGACCAACAUCUCUUCUACUCCCCACCCCCUUGGCCCUGGUAAAUACUGUUCUAGUCUCUAUUUCUGUGUGUUUUUUGCUUCCACAUUUAAGCGAUAUCCUGCAGUAUUUAUCUUUCUUGGUCUGACUUACUGCACUUAGUGUAAUGCCCUCAAGGUUUGUGUUUAUGAACAUUUCCCACAUACCUCGAUAUAAACUGUGUUACAUCAUCUUUGGACAGAAGUGAGUGUAAUAAAAGAGUAUGAUGACUUUAUAUAUUACAUUUUUAAGGAAUAAAUGCAGAGAGAUAUCUUUGGGUAAUAAUUUUGUUGACUCUUUUUGAGCCUUUUAAGUAUUCUAAAUUUCAGCUUUAUAGAAUAGAAUAUUGAACCCAAACUACAUUUUUGAUCAGUUGUGUCUCUCUUAGUGUUGAAGAAAGUGUUGGAUGAAGAUUCAAAAUAGAAAAACUAACUUUGAUAACUUUUGUUAUCCUGUGUGCAAAGAUUGGAUCACAGGAUCAUGCAAGAACAUGAGCACAUCCGCCAGUGCUUGGUGUUCGGAGAGAAAACCUCUGGGUCUUUGUUUCAUUCCCACAGUAACUAUAACUGGUUUCUUUUUUGUUUUGUUUUGUAAUUUCUCCCCUGCAA